rnacentral:lncRNA from 1 species
CUCAAAAUGAUUAAGACUCUAUACAUGCCAUAGUUUAAACAUUUUGAAAAGCACAUAAUACCGAGAUGGCUAUGAUAGUGUGAUACGAGCUCCGACGGUCCACUAUUCGAUCAAGUUCAAAUCACUAUAAAACAAAGGAAAGAAAGAUAUGUGUAAGCUAUAAAUAGCUUAGUAAGUUACAUGUAAACAAUAAUUACUCAUUUAAUAAUUAACACUUUUAACAUAUAACUAAUCAAAACAUUUCUUAGCAAUUUCAAUCACUUACACAUGCACAAUCUUACCAAUUCACUUGCAUAUACAUUUUCACACUUAACAUUUCAUAUUCACUUUAAUUCAUUAUUAAUCCCGUUGAACACUUGGAAUAUACACGGAUACGUAGAGAUUUAGCACAUAAGUGCCACAUUGAUAUGUAGCCGAAGCUACCACUGAUAUGUAGCCGUAGCUACCACUGAAAUGUAGCCGAAGCUACCACUGAUCAAUAACACUGGAAAUGUCCACGGGCCUGCUCACACAAGCUGUCAGGUGUCUGCAACACAUGCUAGAUCACCCAGCACCCGGGACUCACUGUAACACUGUAACACUGUAACACUGGUCUCUAGUGACAUGUCACUUGUAUCCAAUUCUAUUCCUAAGUUCAACCGGGAAUUUACACUUAACACUUUAUUUUCAACACUUUAUCACUUGAAUAAUUCAUGAACAAUUUUCCUUCCACAUUCAAUAUUAAUUCACAUAUCAAAUAUAAUUCACAAUUUAUACAAAUAUAACUAUUAUUUACAUAUAACUUACCUCGGAUGCAAAACGACUAUUUUUGUAAUUUAGUCGAUAACUUUCUCUUUUCCCUGAUCACUUGCACUAUUUCUUCUUUCUUGAUCUAUAUUAACACAAUUUAAUACAUUUUAUCAAUAUUCCAUCCAAAUACAAUUCAUACACAACAUUUUGACACAUUUACAUUUUUCCCCAUAACUUUUCAAAAAUUCCACUUUUGUCCCUAAGCUCGUAAAAAUCAAAUUCACUAAAUUUCUUAAAUUUCAAACUUCACUAAAUCAUAUUUCAUGCUCAUAACAGCCCUCAAUUUCACAAAAUCACAACUUUAUGCACACUUUACCAUCUUUCACAAUUUAGCCCUUUUUCAACAUUUUCAUUGAAAUUCAUCUAGUAAAACUUGUAAUUAACACUUCAAACAUUCAUUAUCUAACAUCACUAAUCAAUUUACAAUUAUAUCAUGAAUGUGUCAAUUUUUAAAACUUUAAUUUCAUUUAAAUUAAAUGGUAGAAACAUGAAAUUCAAGCUUCAAUAAGCAUAAAAAUACGAAAAUAAUUAAAAACGGGGCAAGAAAUCACUUACAAUUGAGCUUAGGAAGUUUAAGAACCCUAGCUAUGGUGACAUGAAUUUUUUUGGCAGCAAACGUCUGAUUUUAAGAAGAUGAACACUUAUUUUCAUCUUUAUUUUGUCUUUUAUUCAAUUUGGACAAAAAUGCCCUUGACCCAUUACUUAGAUAUUUUUCUAGAAAUACCCUUUUGUGUCCAUAACACUAAUUUAUGGUCUAAUUGCCACAUAAACACUUCCAAUUUCAUGCAAUAAUUCAAUUAAGUCAUUUAAUCACUAAUUAGACACACUUUGCAUUUUUCUCAAUUUAGUCCUAAAAAUUCAAUUAAGCACUAAAGCAUUAAAAUUUCCUAUCCAUAUUUUCACACAAUAUUUCAAUCAAUCAGUAACUAAUAAAAAUUUAUAAAAUUAAACUAUUUCACUUCGGAUUUGUGGUUACGAAACCACUAUUCCGAUUAGGCCCUAUUUCGGGCUAUCACAAUUCUCCCCCCUUAGGGAUUUUCGUCCCCGAAAAUCUUACCAGUGAAUAAGUUGGGAUACUGUUUCCUCAUAGCCUCCUCGGUUUCCCAUGUUGCCUCUUCCACCCCAUGUCGUUGCCAUAACACUUUCACUAAAGCAAUUUCUUUGUUUCUCAACUGUUUCACUUCUCGUGCCAAGAUUCGAAUCGGUUCUUCUUCGUAUGUCAUAUCCGAUCGAAUUUCCACUUCAGUCGGUGAAAUCACAUGUGAUGGGUCCGAUCGAUAUCGCCUCAACAUAGAAACAUGAAACACAUUAUGAAUUCUUUCCAAUUCCGGUGGUAAAGACAAUCGAUAAGCCACUGGACCAAUUCUUUCUAUCACUUCAUACGGACCAAUAAAUCUUGGACUUAAUUUACCUUUACGGCCAAAUCUCAGAAUUUUCUUCCAUGGAGACACUUUCAGAAAUACUUUAUCACCCACUUGAAACUCAAUCUCUUUUCUUUUCAAAUCCGCAUACGACUUUUGUCGAUCUGAUGCAGCUUUCAAACAAUCACGGAUUAUCUUCACUUUUUCUUCGGUUUCUUUUACCAAAUCAACUCCAUGUAACUGAUUUUCAUUAAGUUCAGUCUAAUAUAAUGGAGUCCGACACUUUCGUCCAUAUAACGCUUCAUAAGGUGCCAUUUUUAUGCUUGACUGAUAACUAUUAUUAUAAGCAAAUUCCACCAAAGGUAAAUAUCUUUCCCAAUUACCUUCAAAUUCCAAUACACAACAUCUCAACAUGUCUUCGAGUAUUUGAAUUACUCUUUCAGACUGUCCAUCGGUUUGGGGAUGGAAUGCUGUACUAAAAUUCAAUUUAGUACCCAAUGCCUCUUGUAAUUUCUUCCAAAACCUUGAAGUAAAUCGUGGAUCUCUAUCAGAUAUAAUAGACAUAGGUACACCAUGUAAUCGGACUAUCUCAUCAAUAUACAAUUCAGCUAACUUGUCAAGUGAAAAACUCAUUCGCACAGGAAUGAAAUGAGCCGACUUAGUCAAUCGAUCAACUAUAACCCAAAUUGAGUCUUUCUUUUUCGGUGACAAUGGCAAUCCAGAAACAAAAUCCAUAGUAAUUCUAUCCCACUUCCACUCGGGCACCAUAAUAGGUUGAAGUAAUCCUGAAGGUACUUGGUGUUCAGCUUUUACUUGUUGGCACACUAAACACUUUGUCACAUACUCGGAGAUAUCCCGUUUCAUACCCGACCACCAAUAUAAUUUCUUCAAAUCAUUGUACAUUUUUACACUACCGGGGUGAACUGCCAAAUGACUAUCAUGUGCUUCUUGCAAAAUUUUCUGAAUUAAAUCAACAUUUUUCGGAACACAUAUUCUAUCACGAAACAUUAAACAUCCAUCUGAAUCAAUCUGAAAAUCAGAAUUAUUGUCCACUGCACACUGAGUCUUUCUUCUUUGCAAUUCAUUAUCCACUUUCUGAGCCUCACAAAUUUCUUGAAGAAACAAUAGUCUAGCUUUUAACUCUGCAAACAAUGAUCCAUCUUCAGUCAAUGUUAAUCUCGUAUUCAAAGCUCUCAAAGCAAAGAGAGACUUUCUGCUCAAAGCAUCAACAACUAUAUUAGCUUUUCCCGGAUGAUAAUCUAUCACAAGUUCAUAAUCUUUCAACAAUUCCAACCAUUUUCUUUGCCGCAAAUUCAGAUCUUUUUGUGUCAUAACAUAUUUCAAACUUUUAUGAUCUGUAAAAACACGACAUUUCUCACCAUAUAAAUAAUGACGCCAAAUCUUCAAAGCAAAGAGAAUAGCAGCCAACUCUAAAUCAUGGGUAGGAUAAUUUCGUUCAUGCGGUUUCAAUUGUCGAGAAGCAUACGCUAUCACUUUUCCUUCUUGCAUCAAUACACAUCCAAGCCCAUUUAAUGACGCGUCACUAUAAACAACAAAUUCCUUUCCUGACUCAGGUUGCACUAACACUGGUGCCUCAGUUAAACAGUUUUUUAAUUUCUCAAAACUUUGUUGACACUCCUCGGUCCAUUCGAACUUAGCAUCUUUUUGCAACAAUUUUGUCAUCGGUGAAGCUAUCAUCGAAAAACCUUCUACAAAUCGACGAUAAUAUCCGGCUAAGCCCAGAAAACUCCUAACUUCAGAUACAUUUCUUGGAGGCUUCCACUCAACUAUUGCCGAUAUCUUAUUCGGAUCCACUCGAAUGCCAUCUCCCGAGACAAUAUGCCCCAAAAAUCCAACUUCACUAAGCCAAAAUUCACUUUUGCUAAAUUUAGCAAACAAUUUCUUUUCUCGCAGCGUUUGUAGCACAAUUCUUAAAUGUUCAGCAUGCUCGGCUUCACUUCGGGAAUAAAUAAGAAUAUCAUCUAUAAACACCACAACAAAUUUAUCCAAAUAGGGCCGAAAAAUUCGAUUCAUCAAAUCCAUAAAAAUAGCUGGAGCAUUAGUCAGACCAAAAGGCAUUACAAGAAAUUCAUAGUGGCCAUACCGGGUUCUGAAAGCAGUCUUUGGCACAUCUGACUCUUUAACCCUCAAUUGGUAAUAUCCGGAUCUCAAAUCAAUUUUGGAAAACACUGUGGCAUCCUUUAACUGAUCAAACAAGUCAUCUAUUCGGGGCAAUGGAUACUUAUUCUUCACUGUCACUUUGUUAAGUUGACGAUAAUCGAUACAUAAUCUCAAUGUCCCAUCCUUUUUCUUCACAAAUAACACAGGAGCACCCCACGGAGAGUAACUUGGUCUUACAAAUCCUUUAUCUGUCAGCUCUUGUAAUUGCACUUUUAAUUCUUUUACUUCAGUUGGUGCCAUUCUGUAGGGAGCAAUCGAUAUUGGAGCAGUACCUGGCAUUACUUCAAUACCAAACUCUACUUCUCUAAUCGGAGGCAAACCUGGCAACUCUUCUGGGAACACAUUUACAUAUUCACAUACCACUGGCACUGAUUCGAUCAUUAUUUCAGACACUUUUGUGUUCAACACAUAAGCAAGAUAUGCUUCACAACCAUUUUUCAAACAUUUCUGAGCAGACAUGACAGAAAUCACAAUUGGCAUCACAUUUGACUUAUCUGUUUCAACCCGAAGAACUGUACCACUACCACACUUCAACUCAAGAAUUUUCUGACUGCAAUCUAUCUUGGCCUUAUGUAAUGUCAACCAAUCCAUUCCCAAAAUAACAUCAAAUUCAUCAAAUGGCAACAACAUUAAGUUGGCAGGGAAACACUGACCUUGUAUAAUCAAAGGAUAAUUUUUGCAUAUUUUAUCAACUAUCACAUGCUUGCCUAAAGGAUUCGACACUUUAACCACAUACUCAGUCAAUUCAACACACAAAUUCUUAUCAGACACUAAAUUCAUGCAUACAUACGAGUGAGUAGAACCAGGAUCAAUCAAUGCAAGAACAUUAGUGUCGUAAAGAGAAAAUAUACCAGUGAUCACAUCAGGAGAAGAUGC